AGACUGAAAAUUGCACAAUUUAACAUAAAAUCAAAAAACCAGCAAAAAAUACAAACAAAAAAAAAGAAAUUACUGAGUACAGCAGGCUCUUUCAGAAGGCAAAAAGAGAAAUUACUUGCCAUAUUCUUCCCUAUCCCUCCCAUUAUUGGUUACACAUAUAAUCUCCACUCCAAUCGAAAAACACACACACACACGCACAAACCCCCUAAAAUUACUUGUUUGGUGCCUUGAUGAAGGCCAAAUGCGUGGAAUUAGCAACUUUUGUCAGGGUUUUGAGAUCAUAGGCAAUCCAGCACCUGGAUGACUGGGUGUGGUAGAAAUAACCCAAACACUUGCAAUCCUUGGUGCAUUUGCUGCUACAAGCAUCCUGCUUCAUGGGUCCAUCUCCAUUUGUGUACUUGGAAUUGAAGUGAUCAACCCCUUCUAGUUUGUAGUAGUAAAAAUCUUUCACUCCACAUGAUACCUUUGCUGCCUGGCAAUUCUUGCUCCAGCCCAGCAAGCCCUUUGGUGAUGGACAAGCAACACAUUGGUCAUCCUGGCAGAGACCAAAGUUCCCACACCUUUCAGGCAAUUGGCAUUCAGUUUCCCAAGAGUCUCCGGAAAACAGAGUGUAGGUCACUUGCCAAGCACUCCAAUCUGCAUUAUCUUCGUAAGUGUAGAUUCUAAGGUUUCCAUCAAUUUCCAAGCGAAGAUAUGACAAAGUUGUGUUGUAUUUAGGCCUUCUCAGGGUGAGAGUUCCACCAUAAGAGGAAUUAGGACCCUCGAAUGCUAAAGAUAAUUCUGAGCCAAAUGUUACACGAUUCAAAGGACCCUUCAAUACACUGAAUAAUUCAGAAAAUGAGAAGUAAAGCAAUGAUUUUGGGGAUUUUGGGCUUUUAUAAUACAUGGCCAGAGUCUUGUCCUCCAUGACCAAACUAUAAGGACCAUCGGCGUUCUGUUUUUCAGAAGCUCGACUCACAAGCUUGGUUGCAGCCCCAAGCUUGAGAGACUGACCCACUAAAAGGGUAUCAGUUGGGUGAUCAAAACUCUGCCAAAUAAACCUACCCUUAGAAUCAUGGAGAACCAUGUUACCAUUCGAGAGUAACUUGAACCCAACAACACCUUUAUUGGCAGUGUUGGUUUGCCAAGCAAUCCGGCCAUUAGCAUCUGCCAAGACAAGGUUUCCUUCAGUUCCAAAGAUAAGGGUGGCCUUUUCGCCAACUGGGUUGCCACGGUUGGCUUCCCAAACCCAACGCAUCAGUGACUCAGACCUCACAGUACCCAUACGCAGAGCGAGAGUAUAGGCAUUAGGAGUGGUGUUAUAAAAGCAAAGUUGAAAUGGCUGGGCAAAGGGGUCGAGGACUCGGUAAUUUGCACCAUACUCCACAAUAUAUUCCCCGAAUUCACCUUCAUUGACAUAUUUGAAGGUAGCAGAGGGAGGAACAGAAGCUUGAGCGAUCAAGGAAAAGACGGUGAAGGAUAAGCAAAGAGAGAGCAAUAGUUGCUGAAGAGAAAACAUUUUGCUU
rnacentral:misc_RNA from 1 species